rnacentral:lncRNA from 1 species
AUUAAUUGUAUAUGGCAAAAUAUAUUGUAUUAAUUGUAUAUUUAUUCAGUUGCCUUUUAUACCUAGAAUAGAUUAGCAUGAUUGUAGGAAAUCUCUUGUAUAAAUCUUCGUCUCGUGAUUCAAUAAAAUUAUUCAAGGCAAAUAUUAUUUUUCCUUUUUACAGAUGAACCUUAAACUCAGAGAUGAAAGCAAUGGUCCAGAUCCAAACCAUCAAAAACAUGGAUCCCAAUGUUUUGGAUUUUCAAGUAAAAACAUACUGAGAAAUAUAUACUUGAUCUUGACACAUACCCUUAAAAGACAAAAAACAGUAUAGGAAAGAAAUAGCACAACUAUUCAUUGGGAUAGUCUGAGUGUCCUACGAUAAAAAUGCCAAACUUUAAUAGUCUUAGCCUCACUUUGAAGAUGACAAAGAAAUCUGUGCACACCGAACCAAUGGCUAAGUCACCUCACUAAACAAACAUGCACUGAUGGGCAGGCACUAGUUGCUGUAUCCAACCAGUUCAAAUAGGCAAAAUAGUUAAAGAUGGAAACAGAUGAAUGCAAUGGACAACCCAACCAGCUGAAAAUUGCUUGCAAAUAAGCUCUACUUUGAAUAUCCUCUUGUUUUCUAUUUUAAAAAAAAAAUGAUAAUAACUUCUAUAUAAAAUAAAAAACCUCUUUGAAAGUGACCUCAAGUACCGUUAGUGAUGGCAUCAAUGUUGUUGGUUGUUGGGAAUUUGGCCUCACAGCACUGCUGAAAUUUCAUCAGCACCUUAAUUGCUUCUUCCUCUACUGGUUUACAAUAGCUGUUGUCGUUGGUUUUUCCAGUCAAAUGUAUUGCUUUCAUGAGCACCAAUAUAUAUUCGUCUUGAUGUUUACAUCUUUUGUUGAUUAGUAAAAUUCAUGUCUAAGCUUCUGGUGUCACAACAGUAAUACACUAAGUGAUGUAUUGUAGAAAAAUGGAGAAUCCGAAAUCUACAAUUAUUUAAGCAUAGAGUGAGUGUUGAUGUCUCUCCCUCUCACCUAUUUCAACAAGGACAAGUAAUUAGAUAGAUCUUCACGCCCAAGAAGCUUUUUUGAUAGAAAAGAACAUUGUUUAUUUUAAUUAUUAUGCUAUUAAGGAGCUUUUGGAAAGUUAACUUGAAUUAAGAACUUUCUAAAUAUUAAAAUUAGAUUUAGUUUCUAAAAAGUCAAGGGAGAAUAUUUUAUUUUGAGUAGUUAUUCUAGUUUCUAUUUUUAAGCUGUCAAGUCUUUGAAGGUUUCAAUAUAUUAUGAGUUUCUAUUUUGUUUAGUGUGAGCAAUUACAAAUAGAAGAUUAUGUAACGUUUGAAAAAAAGAGUGAUAGAAGAUAAUAAAUUUUUAAUUCUCCUAAAUUUAUCUUCCUUUGUAAUUGUUUGUUUUUCUCUAUCAACCUCAUUACUCCAACCAAAUUGGUAUCAACACUUUCACAUAUCCAACAAUUUGGUAUCAAAGCCAUACAAAAAAAAAAAGGGCAAGUGGGAUGCACUCAUUUCAAGUUCCUCAACUCAACAAAGACAACUAUGAUAAUUGGAGUAUCAAGAUGAAGACUUUGCUUGGUUGACAAGAUACAUGAGAGGUUGUAGAGGAAGGCUACAAAGAGCCAUAAGAUGAAACCACUUUAUCCCUAAUCAAAGGCAUUUUUUGAAAGAUAUGAGGAAGAGAGACAAUAAAGCUCUCACCAUCAUCUAUCAAACAAUGGAUGAAGGCACUUUUGAGAAUAUUUCAAGUGCAAUCACCUCAAAGGAAGUCUAAGAGAUAUUAAAAAAUACACACAAGGUAGUUGAGAAGGUACAAAAAGUUUGUCUUCAAACUCUUAAAGGAGAAUUUGGAGGUUUGAAUAUAAAAGAAUCUAAAUCAAUUUCCAAUUAUUUUCAAGAGUAUUGGCUAUUGUGAAUUUAUUAAAAAGAAACAGUAAGAGUUUAAAUAAUACUCAUGUGAUUGAGAAAAUGCUUCAAUCUUUAGAUUCGAAGUUUUAUUAUAUCGUUGUGGUCAUUAAAGAAUCUAAAGAUUUAGAUUCUAUGACAAUGGAUCAACUUAUGGGAUCAGUUCAAGCCCAUGAAGAGAGAUUAAAAAGGAAGAGAUCAACAUGUCAAUUCAAUUGUUAAUGUACUUAUGAAAAGAAAUGGAGCAUUUUUCUUAAACAUUCAAAAUGAUGUUGUAAAAUGUCUAAAAUUUUAUGUCAAUGACUUCUCUUAGAUCUGGCACUUAAGAUUUGGAUAUCUUAAUUUUGGUGGAUUAAAAUUAUUGAGCAAGAAAAAUAUGGUGAGAGGAUUGCAUUCUAAAGAUCACUUGGAUCAAUUAUGUGAAGGAUGUUUACUUGGAAAACAUGCCCAAACUAAUUUUCCAAAAGAAGCAAGUACAAGAGCAACAAAUGUAUAUGGGUCAAUUCAUUUGAACUCUUUUGGUAAAAAUAAAUAUUUUUUGCUUUUCAUUGAUGAUUUUAGUAGAAAAUUUUUGAAGGAAAAAUCCAAAGUAUGUAGUGCUUUUAAGAAAUUUAAAGUACUUAUUGAAAAGGAAAGGGACCACAAUAUAAAGGCAAUGAGAUUUGAUAGAGGAUGCGAAUUCACAUCAAUAGAAUUUGAAGAAUAUUGUGAAAAUCAUGGGAUUUAUUCACUUCUAAUGGUUCUAUAUUCUCCACAACAAAAUGGGUAGCUAAAAGAACAAAUAGAAAUGUCUUUGACAUGGCUCAAAGUAUGUUGAAAAGUAAGAAAAUGCCCAAAGAAUUUUGGGCUAAAGCUGUUGAGUGUGGAGUUUAUUUGUCAAAUUAUUUUCCUAUUCCAAGUGUAUGGAAUAAAACACCGCAACAAGCUUGGAAUGGAAGAAAGCAAAAUAUUUCACAUUUGAGAGUAUUUGAAAGCAUUGCAUAUGCUCACGUGUCAUAUCAAAAGCGAUCAAAAUUAGAUGACAAGAGUGAAAAAUAUAUCUUCAUUUGUUAUGACUCAAGUUCCAAAGGCUACAAGUUAUACAAUCCAAAUAAAGGAAAAAUCAUUAUUAGUAGAGAUGUCAAGUUUAACAAAGACGAAGCAUGGGAUUGGGGUGCUCAAGAAGGCGACUAUGAUAUACUCUUCCCCUAUAGGAAGAAGAACAAACAAUGGGAAGCUUACAAGAGAUUACUACUCCACUUUCUCCAUCAACUCAUGAGGUUCCAACAAUAUCAUCCUUAUUGGAAUGCUCUAGUGGAAGGACACUACGUUAUAGAAGUUUACAAGAUAUUUAUGAGGCAAUAAAAGAUCAAAAUGAUCUAACCCUCUUUUGUCUUUUUGCAAAUUGUGAAUCAAUAGGUUUUGAAGAAGCAAUUCAAGACAAAAGAUGGAAAGUUGCUAUGGAUGAGGAAAUAAAAUCAAUAAGGAAGAAUGACACAUGAAAAUUACAAUCCCUUCCAAAAGGGAAAAAAAACUAUUAGAGUAAGAUGGGUCAACAAGGCAGAGAAAAAUGCAAAAUGAGAAGAAGAAAGAUACAAAGCAAGAUUGAUGGUUAAGGGUUACAAGCAACAAUAAGGCGUCCACUAUGUGAACAAGAAACCAUUGAUUGCAUUACCAAAAAAUUCAGUUUUCCAUUAUUCAAGCAAGCACAUCGAUACAAGAUAUCGUUUCAUUAUAGAGGGCAUUAUGAAAAAAAAGAAAAAAAAAAGAAAGUGCAAUUAAAUUUUACAAAAUCUUAAGAUCAAAUUACGGUUAUUUUUACAUAAAUCAAGUUUAAGAAGGCAUGUUGGAAAGUAAUCUUGAAUUAGGAACUUUCUAAAUAUUAAAAUUAGACUUCAUUUCUAAAAAGUUAAGAAAGAAUAUUUUAUUUUAAGUAGUUAUUCUAGGUUAUAUUUUUGAGUUGUCAAGUCUCAGUAGGUUUCUAUAUCUUAGAAUUAGGAGUUUCUAUUUUGUUUAGUGUGAGUAGUUAUAAAUAGGAUAUGUAAUGUUUGAAAAAAAAAAUUUGUGAUAGAAGACAAUAAAUUUUUAAUUCUCCUAAAUUUAUCUUCCUUUGUAAUUGUGUGUUUUCUCUAUCAAUCUCAUUACUCCAACCAAAUUGGUAUCAAUUUUUCCGCACAAGGGUUAAGUUCCAUUGUAAAGUUUUAAAUGCCACACAUUAACACAAGCAAAAGACUUUUGCAAAAGAGCCAAAUAACUAAGAUCUUUAGUUCGUUGUUGAUUACACUCUGCAAUACUGCUACAUAAAUAUAAACCACCCAAGCACUUUUACAUCCUAUAGAGUUGUGCUGACUCAUCCCACUUGCCCAACAAAGCCACAAGGCAAAACCCCACCACUAAGAGGGCUAGAAAUGAAAAAAACCUAUGUGAUGAUAUAUAACAGAUACAAACAACUAAACUUUUUAAGGAAAUUGUGUUUGGAUAAAUUUUAUCUUUGUUUUCCCUUUUGUUCUUCUUUCUCCAUUUUCUUUGUUGCCUUCCAAAAGUCUUCACAAACCAUUUAUGUUUCCUUACAGUCAAGCAGUACAAUUUUCCAAUCAAAAUCACUUGGGGAAGCAUUUCCAAAGGUUGAAGGGGAUGGUGUUAGUGACCAUCCCUUAGAACAUUCACAUACCAUUAAUAAAGGAUUUCCUCACAACCCUUUCCAUCGAAUAAACUAUUUGGAAAUGUAUCAAAUUAUUUUCUCUAUGGUAUUGGCCCUGUUAAAUGGUUAUGAGACACAAUGAAAAAUGCCAUGGAGGUAAAAGACCCCAAGUGCUUCAUUAUACUGCUAGUAGUCAAAUAAAAGGACCCCAACUCUAAGUCAAGGCAAUGUCCAUUUUCACCUAUUUGCGAGAAAAUAAAUGGAACAAUAUAAUAAAUACAAGGUUGUUGUAUUACUUGUGGUAUAUAAAUUUUUGGCUUUCUAAUUGUUGCAUCUCAUUGGACAAGAAACAUAUGGAUUUAAAUCUCUUAAAGAAAAUUGUGGUAAAAUGAUUUAGGCCAUGUUUAACAACUAUUUUUUUAAAACUUUUUUUUUUGUUCUUUGUGGUUGGAUGAUUUAGGGCAUGUUUGACAACUAUUUUUUGAUGAUAUCUGAAAAUGUUUUCCAUUUUUUUUCCUAAAUUUUUUCCAUUUAGAUUGAUUGGAAUUUUUGGGUGAGUCAAUGCUUUGAGGUGUUGAAAGGAAUAAUUUAGGUGAAGUAUACAAAACUUUAUAAUUAGUAGGAAGUGUGUUCUUUUAUCUUUUUUCUUCUUUAUUAUUUCUCUUUCCAACUUACUCUUUUAGAUAUGUUAUGUUUAGUUUUCAAAAAAAUUAAAAGGAAAAAUGCAAGAAAAAAGAAAAUAGAGAGAAAAAGUAAAUAAAUAAAUAAAGUCAAUAAAUUUAUUUUUAUAUAUUAUUUUAAAUUUAUUGCAUUUAUUUUAUCUUAUACAUAUAUAUGAAUUAAAUAAUUUGAAAAUGCAUGAAUUUUUUUUCUAAUUUUAAUUACAUUUUAUUUUAUUUUCAUAUUUUCAUAAUAAAAUAAAACAUACAAAAUAAUUUUAAACUUAACAUUUUUUUUAUUUCCCAAGUAAUUUCUUGAAACCAAACAUAGCUUUGAUUCCUCAAAAGAUUUGAGGGAAGGCAAGAGAAACAAUAAAGAGGAAAAAGAGUUUAAAGCUAAUAAUUUGUUUUUUGAUUUCAAUUGCUUUAAUUCUUUUAUAUAAAGACUAAAUAAUUUAAAAUUACUUAAGUUUUUAAUUAAUUUUAAUUAUGUUUGAUUUUCAUUUAAAGUAAAACCAAGCAUGCGAAAUAUACAUAUAUUUGUACAUCAUGUAUAAAGUACUUAUAUUAAAUACAAUAUGUGCAAUGCAUGUGCAUGUACAAGGCGAAUGCCUUUUAUUGUCAAAGGCCAAUUUUAUCAUCAGCAUGAUCAAUUUUUGAAGUAAAAGACAAUUUUUAAAACCUUUGCUUUAUUGGUAAACUUCACGCAUUUGGACAAACCAUACAUUGAGUAUUUUUGGGAAAAUAUCAUAGAAGUGGUUGAAAUUUGAUGGUUGAAUCCUAUACUCACAAUGUGUAGUGGCAAGUUAGGUCAAGUUAAUUGUAUUUAUACAUCAAAUACAACAAAAUUGUACUAAAUAUAUAUGGCAUGUACAUAACAUUUCAAUUUUCGUUCUUUCAAGGUCAUUUCUUUAUAGAAGUAGGUCGGAGUUGAUGUUGAUCACUAUAAAAUAGUGUUUGUGUGUGCUUACUCAUCAUGUUAAAUAAUCUUACAUUUAUACCGAUGGAAAUAAGGUUUCGAAUUACCUUCUAAAAGGUCUAAAAUCUAGAUUGGUUGUUUCAUUGACGAAUUCUUUGUCCCAAAUUGUUAAUGAAAUUACAAAAAAUGAUAACCACUCUAUUUCCACAAUAUAAAUGUCUUAAUCAUCGUUUUCACAAAGAAAAAUAAAUAUAAGAGAAAAAACUCAUAGAAACGUAUUCUUUCAAGCUCUUUGAGUAGUUUUAACUACCAAAAACUAUUCCCCAUAUUUCUCAGUUUAUUGGCUCGGGUCAAGUCAACCCACUUGAGUACCCAAACCCAUCUCCAACAUACACAUUAUGUACCAAAAAUUUGUACUUAAUGCACAAAAUAGUUGUAUUAAAUAUAUGACACAUAUAAGACAAUUUUGUUUUUUAUCUCCAAAAUGAAAUGUAAAAUUUCGUAUUAACUAGAAAUUAUAAUUGAUAUAAUUUCAAAUCUUAUAAUCUGUUUGAAAUCUAGUGAAUAAUAUCGGAACAACUUGUUUAACUCUAUGUAGAUUUUAUUGAUCUUACUAGUGAAAACAUGAGAAUGACCUAUGUGUUCAUUCUUCUUCCAUCAUAUAUUUGGUUAAAUUGGUGCAAAUAUGAUAAGCUCUUUAAUUUUUUAGCUUGAUAAAAAAACUUUAGUUGAAAUACCAAAAAUAAUGAUUUUAUUAAUAUUGAUUUUUACCAUUACAAAGUCAAAAAAGAAAAAAAAAUACACUUGGGUUUGUUUGUAUCCAUGUCUAUGCUAGAAAAAUACAAUAUAAAUAUAUUAAUAUUUCUAAUUUGAUAUACAUAUUCAAGAACAAAUACUAUUUAAAUUUAUCUAUGAUUCAAUGGCUUACUAUUAUUGUUUUAUUAUUUUAAAAAUUAAUUUUAAAAAUUUUUUUGCCAUCAUCAUCAUGUCAAUCAUCUUAUUCUAAUGAUUUAAGAAAAACUGAUUUUAUUAUUUUAAGUUAUGAAACUAAAGAACUGCACCAAGAACAAAAGGGCCUCGUUCUAAUCCAGACUUUCCUACUCUUAGAAUCAAGUAUGGGGAAAACAAUCAUCAGCCACAACCAUCUUCAUUUUCCUCUGCAAUGACAAGGGUUUUCUUGUCAAAUACAUUUUCUUUAAAAAAAAAAAACAUUUUUUAGGCUAAAAACGCUUCUUAGAAUCAUUGUCAAACAAACUCUAAGCAAUUUUUCGAUACUACAAGUGAUUUUUAAAAUUUUUAUGUGUUUUGUAAGUUUUGUCAAACACCAGUUGUUUUUUCAAAAAUAUUUUUUAAGCUAAAAACAUUUUCUAAAAUUACUGUCCAACGGACUCAAAGUCUCUUACUUUAAUACCCUUAAAAGUUUCAAAAGUUUAUUAAAUUAUCAUUGGUAACUUUCACAGGCUUAUAGCUUACAACUGUCAUGAUGGCGUCGAGAUGGUGUCGUUGUCAACUGGCGGCAAUGUGUUAGGCUAAAGUUGGAGGGGGUGGCAGUGAUGCAAAAAGGGGGGAGAGGGAGGAAAGGGGUUGUAGUAGAUGUUAGGGUAGAAGGCAAGGGAUGAGUUUAAGGGGCAAAACAACAUCGUUUUGAAAGGGAGAAAAAAAAAAAAAAACCUUUCGAACCAUUCAAUUUGUUCAAAACUGACCAGGUCAAUAGGGUUCAUCGGUCCAAUUGCCGAUUCUAGUGGUUCAAGGUCAAUUCAAAGGUUGAUCGGUUUAAAGGCACGAACCAGACCGAAAUGGUAACCAACCGACACUUCGAUUGGUAGGAUCGGUUAGUCCGGUUCAAUUUUUAAAAUCAUGAUUUAAAUUGUAUAAGUGCCUCAUUUUGCUCAUUUUGGAUAUGAGUACGAGUUUGCACUUUUACAGACCUCAAGGUGCAUUUAAGUCCUUCUCACAUCCCAUUCCUCAUCCUAAAACCGUGGGUACAUCAUCAAGGUUUAAAUUUGAAUGUUCUAUAUCAAUGGUCCAUUCUUGGAAAUACUAAAUAUUUUCAAUUAGUAAUUGCUACACCUUACUUGGAUCUAAAAUUGAAUUUUUGAAAGUAUUUAGUGUUUGUAUUCAUUGUUUUCUUAAUUAAGUUUCAAUCUUUUAAUAAAAAAUCACAAUUUUCACAAACUAAAGUUUUCAUAAAAAGUAGUAGUUGAGUCAAUUUAGGCAAGAUAAACUAGUUCACUUGUUUCCUUAAGGUUGAUACCUAAUACUAAAAGUAGAAGUAAUUUUCUCUAUGAUUUUUCUUAAUCAAAGUUACUACAUUACCACUUUAGUGAUCUUCUACAUAACAUAGAAGUUCUAUUAGUUGGUAGCAUUUUAAAUUAAUCAAAGAGAUAGAAUUAGAUGUUAGAAACUUUUGUCUCUCAUACCUCUAAGAACUAUCCUACAUUUUUUCCUUACACUAAUAAUUUUUCUCCAUGAAUGUCUUGAAUGUUUCAUAUACAAUAUAUAAGUUUUCAAAAUAAUUGAUGACAACAACCACUGUCUUAAAACCUGACUAUACUUAUUAUGAAAUUUGUCAAAUACAAAAUAAAUGUCUAUAAACUCAAUUGAAUAUCAAAAUGAUUUCCUUGAGAGAAAAUGAAACACUUAUACUAUUUCACAAUAAUAACUAAUAAAAUAUUUUGGUUCCCUUUGAUUUAGUAAAAGAAAAGGAAAAAAAAUGAAUAAAAAACAACAUUUCUUGAUUAAUACAAUUGCAAGAAUGUAAAUUUUAUCAAAUUAAUUGAAUUCUUAACUAUCUAGUUGUUAUUAUGUACUUUAUUUAAGCAUUAAUAUGGUUAUUAUAAAACAGUUGAAUUACUUUAUGUCUUUGAGUAUGAAGGAGAACCUGAUAGAACCACUUUAUAAAUAUUAUUUAAUCCAUUUUGUGAUACUUGUAUUUCAAUUAGGAUGAGAAUAAUUUAUGUUAGGAUAGAGCCCUUAAAAGCAUGACAUGUUAUAACAUUUAUUUGGAUUUAUUAACAAGAUUCCAAUUUCUCAUUUCUCUCUUGUUUUAUGCAUUAUAUUUUAUAAGCAUUCUGACUUGAUUACUUAAUAAGAGGAUUUAUAACUUCAGAAGGUAGAGGUAGUCUUGAAAGGUUGAUAGCUUUCACCUAAUGCACCCAAGUCAUGUACAAUGUAAGAGACAUGGAUUGAAUGCUCAAAUCAAUGUCAAUAUAUUAAGAGGAUAACAAGGGGAUAGUUAAUUCUAACUUUGUUAUAUCAUGUCUUGCUUUAAAUGGCUUAAUCCCAACAAACUUCCACUAGCCCCAAAAGUAGACCGGGCACUACAAAAAGAUUCUGCUCCAGAGUCAUAUCACCUCCUUGUACUAUCUCAUAGUAAUGUAACACUUUAUCUUUAUGUGUUUCACCUUCUAGUGAUACUUUAGUUCUUUAGGCUAUGUCAUUGUCCCACUGUUAUCAUAUAAUAGUAUCUUAAACGAUAUAACCAAGGGAACUACCCAUAAGCCAAAAGGCUUCCUUUGUUGUUAUAGAACCAACAAAAACCACUUAAGAGUGUAUACAUAUCUAGAGGUAGACCUACGAGAGUCCUCAUUAGACUGAAAGUCCAAUUCCCGAUGAAAUGAGUACCAACUCAUCACAAAGAUUCACAAGCAUAUAAUCUCGCAUUCUCCAAAGAUACUUACGUAUUUGCUUAACAUCCGCCCAAAGCUCUAAUAAGGAAUUAAAUUAAUAUUAACUCAUAUUCCUAUAACAAAGCAAAUAUUUGGUCUAGCACAUAGCAUUGCAUAUUUAAUGCUAUCCAUUGUAGAGGCAUAGGAUACCGCCUUAAUGUGAUAUCUCUCGAUGGAUGUCCAAGGACAUUGAUCCUGAGAAAGACAAACCCAUUGCAGGAUCUUUGUCCUAUGCUGAUGAUGAAGUUGGUGCUUGUGGUGCAACUGGGGAUGGUGAUAUCAUGACGCGUUUCCUUCCCUGGUAGUUCAACAAAUCCCAAACUUUUAAACUUCAGCCUGGAAACUGUUGUUUUUCCAGUUGGUAUUAAAACAAAAUUUGGAAGCUUCUCUUCCAAGUUAGCUAAAACUGGAAUUUUUAUAAUGAAGAUUGUUUAAACUGAUUGAGUAUUCAAAAUCUUUGAGGUACUAAAAUGGGUUGAGCUCCAGCUAAUGUCUUGGUGAAAUUCAAAAUCAUUGGUGAAAUUCAAAAUCAAUCUUGUAGAGCCAUGAUGAGCCAACCUAAACAAAGCAUAGGCUAGGCAGGGUUUGGCGCUAGUCAGGCUCGAUUUGGCUUGAGCUCUCUAUGUAGAGCAGUGCCACAGUGAAAGAACCAGGCUCUGAAGCUAUGAAUGUAUUUGGAACCAAAACUCAAAAUCCUGCUCUUAUGGAGCAUGCCCUCAAUCUCACUCAAAUAAAAAGAGAAGGGAGGAAAAUAGGAAAAAAGACAAAUAGCAAAGGAGCAUGUUUCUUAUAUGAAUUAAUAACAUGCAUGGAGAAUAUUAAUGCAAUACUAGCCACAAAAACUAUCACCUCUAUAGCUCAGUUAAGGCUCAUCAAGCUUGGAGAGCUUGACCUGAGGUUUGGGCCCUCUUUAUAUCAAGCAAAUCAAACUCAAGUCAUUUUCUGCUCUCCUCACUUGAACUGAAAAGCCCACCUAUCCAUUCUAUGCUCUCUCAGAUGUGUGAUGUAGGAUGGAUUGCUUCUCUGUUUUGGCUCUGUUCCCAAGCCUAUUUUUUCCAAGGUCCAAGUGCUCUUGAUAUACCUCUCAUCUCACCAACUAUAGGAAAGAAACUCUUUAGACACUGGACAAGAAAGAGAUACUCAAUCCCCUUUUCUUGACUGACUAUUUGGAUCCUAAGAAUCAUUUACCUGAUUUCAGCUAUCAAGUUGUGGAGAGUAUGCGACUGGGGAUGGAGCCAAAGCUUGCUGCCCAAGAUGCAAUAAAGCGAAUUGCAAGAAAAAUUCCAGAUUUCGUUGGGGCAGUUUUUGCCAUCAAUAAGAAUGGUCUGCAUGCUGGUGCUUGCCAUGGAUGGACAUUUCAAUACUCAGUGAGAAGCCCCGGAAGUGGAGGAUGUGGAGGUAUUCACUGUCUUCCCCUGAAAUAGCAACUGCCUGAAAUAGCAACUGCAUUCUGGUGGGGUUAUGUAGAAAGCUGGUAAGCAACUAGAACAGCAGCAAAGGGAAUCCUCUAGCUUAACUAGUUUGGAUGUGUACAAAUUAAAUCUAGGGUGGAGAAGUUGUUGAUACUCAUCGGGCCCAUAUUAGAUGUGUUUUGAAGCCAUAAGGAUUAAUAAAUUUAAAGUGCGUUUGACAAUGAUUCUAAAAAUUGUUUUUGGUCUUUUUAACACUUCAUAAUUUUUAUUUUUCAAGUAUUAAAAAUGAUAGAAACACUUUCUAAGAUCACUGUCAAACAUACUCUUAAAGUGCGUUUGAUAAUAAUAAUGAUUUUAAGAAGUGUUUCUAAUUUUUCUACUACUUGAAAGAUAAAAAUUUUCAUGUGUUAGAAAUACUAGAAACUCUUUCUAAAAUCACUAUUAAACGCGCUCUUAAUUUAAAAUUGGGUAGACCCUUAGUUUCUUUUUGGUAGUGAAUUUUUAUUUAUUUAAUUAGUUGAUUAUUAUUAUUGUUAUUUGCCUAGGAUGCUGUGUGAUCCUUCAACUUUUUCUAUAUUCUAAGAAGUUGGUUUGCCCAGGUGUUUAAUUUUUAAAAAAAGUCAGAUUUUUUGAGAAUAUAGCUUUGGUUAAUUAAAAUUUUCAAAAUUAUGCAAUAUCGUUGUCACUCCUUUCAUGGCAUCCCAAUUUUGGAAAUACUUUGAUGGAAAAUCACCUAUAAGUUUGUGGAAAGAGGAUUUAUAAAAUGAUGAGGUAAGGGUAUUUUUAUUUAAUUUCAUUUUUGGUUUGACUGAAGUUGUCUCUCUUUGUGUCUUUAAUCAAGACCCAUGCAAAAGGCCAAUCUAAUGGCUACACAUAGCAUGGGAAUUUUAAUGCAGAAAUGGAGGUAUACCAGUUUUGAAUUUCUAGUUCUACUUCCAUACUUUUCAUACUGGAGAUAUACACAUGGUGUAUAUCUGGUCUAUUCUAAUAUAGAAAGCAAGGCAACCUCGUACUUUUCAUAGGAGUUCUCUUAAUAAUUUCAUCUUGAAUCAAGAAUAGUAGUUGGAUUAUUAAAGAAAUAAUUAAAGUCAUGAGAUAUGGAGAUAGAUAGCAAUUCUGCAAUUCUUCAAGUUAAAGCUCUACGUAAGAAAUGUUUUUAAAAUUGUUUUCAAUAGCAAUUGCUAAAUAGGAUCUAAGACAUGUGCAUCUCUAACACAUGCACCCAAUUCUUACUUUUAACCACUUCAUUUCAAAAUUUUGUAAUUUUGAAAUAAAUUUAUAUGUAAUAGGUGAUUUAAGUGAUUUAUUAAUUAUCAAAUGUAACUCUUACUUUGAGAGUUUUAUCUCUCUCUUAGUGACUAAAAGAUAGAGUUGUGCAUAAACCAACUUCUUUAUAGAAAUAUACAUCUAAUUCAUGGAAAAGAUACAAGGUAAAUUUUUUUUAGGUAUUUUAUAAAUUCAUGUGUUUUCAUCACUGUAUGAGAUAAGAUUAUUGUAUAUACUUACAAAAAAUUGUGAUACUUGGAUAACACAAAAUCUCGUGAUUAUGGUGAGUUAAAUUUUCUGGGCUUCCACUGUUUUUAAAAAUUUUAGGCUAUGUUUGGUUCUGAAAAAUUUGAAGGAAAAUGUAAAGAAAAGAAAAUUGUGAGAGAAAGUAAAAAAAGAAAGAAAAAAGAUGAAUAAAAAUAAAAAAUAAAUUAUAUGCCUUUUCAGACUCAUUUAAUUUAUUUUUGCUCUUCUAUCUAAAUAUUAAAUAAGUUAAAAAUAUAUAAAUUUUUAGCUAAUUUUAUUUUUAUUUUAUUGUGCUUGAUGAUAAAACCAACAUGGGGUGAGUGAUGAUAUCUCUCCCUUUCACCUUUUCAACAAGGAUAAAUAAUUGGAUAGAUCUUCACACCCAAGAAGUUUUUUUGAUAAGAAAGAACAUUGUUUAUUUUAAUUAUUCUGCAGUCAAGUUGUAAUAUCCCACAAGAUUGCCCCUAGCCUCAAGGUAUAGGGUGUUAUACAAGGGGUCAAGCUCAAUUGCAAAGUUUUAAGUGUCAAACGUUAAGACAUGCAAAAGACCUUUGCAAAAGAGCCAAAAGACUAAUAUCUUCAGUUCGUGGUUAAUUACAAUCUGCAUUAAUACUACUACAUAAAUAUAAACCACCCAAGCACUUUUACAUCCCAGGUGGCUUAUUAUACUGCUACUAGUUACAUAUAAAAGAUCCUAACUCUAAGUCAAGCUAGCCAUUUUCACCUCUUUGUGAGAAAAUAAAUGGAACAAUAUAAUAAUACAAGGUAGUCAAACUACUUCUGGUUGUUGCACCCCACUAGAUAAGAAAAAGAAAAGGCAAAUGAAGUGUUAAAACUAGCAUUUGCAGUUUAUUACAAACCACAAGUGUCUUCCAUUGUUAGUACCAUCUCAUUACUUAACAAAACAGGAAGUUUCAAGAAGAAAAAGAGAGAGAAAUCAAACAGCGGCAGAAUAAGAAGAAGAAAACUGUGGUUGGAUGAUUUAGGGCAUGUUUGACAACAAUUUUUUUAAAACAUUUUUUAUUCUUCAAAAAAAAAAAAAGGAAAAUAUGUUUGACAAUUUUAAAAUAGAAAAUAGUUUAUAAUCUUAAAAACAAAAAAUAGCUUAUUUUCAGAAAAUAUUUUUUUAGUUAUUUUCACUUUUUUUUUAUUUUUUUUAAAAAAUAAUUAUAUAAAUAUAGAGUGAUUAAAAAUAAAGUAUUACAAAUAAAAGUUAUUUUUUAAAAAAAUAUUUAAAAAUAUAAAAAAUAGAUUAAGAACAUUUCAGGUUUCUAAAUCAACUUUUGUAUUGAAAAACAUUAGAUAAUAGUAUUUUUCAAAAAUAUUUUCGAGAACAAUUCCAAAACAAAGCCUUAAUUUCUCUAUCUCUCAAUUUCUUUCAUUUUCCAUUUGGGUAUCACAUUCCAAAAAUUUUCAUAUCCUAUCAAUGUCAUUUUCCAUCCAAAUGCACCAAGGAACCUUGUUCAGAGGUUGAAAAGGGUGGUACUGGUAACACAUCAGGAUUAGCCUUGAAAACUAGAGAAAAAAAAAAAAUGCUUUUCCUACGGGGACAAAUAGAAGGCUCCACAUUUUAUUUACUUAAAGAGAUUCCAUAUCUCCCUUGAAUUUUCUGUUUUAUGGUUAGGUGUUCAAAGAUUGAAGUUUCUACCUUUAUUUCAAAUGAAAGACUUGCAUACAAGUUCUAAGGUUGAGGUUGAUGUAGAGGAGCUUAAAGCAUAGUUUCACUCAGCUAGCUAUAAGAAGGUUUGCAAGUACAACAACCUCAAGGGACUUGUACUGUUGCUUAACUUCCCAUUAAAUAGCUUAACUCCAAUGCAAGACAACUUUCAUUUUGCGUUUGUCCUUUUUCCAUGUGAAAUAGAUAGAAGAAUCUAAUACAUGCAAGCUAGUGAUAGUACUUACUAAUAUGUAAGCGCACAACUUGAUAAAAGGAAGAAGGAAUGAUAAAAGAAGUGACAAGAAUAACACCUUCAGUCUGUAGUUCAAUACAAACCAUAAUCAAGUUGCAUUGCUACACUACAUAUUAUUAAGAAACCUAAGCAGUUUUACAUCCAUUCGCCAACACAAACACAAGUUGAAGUAACACCAUGACUAGAAAGGAAAAAGAAAUGAAGAAAGAAGUCCAACAAUUCAAGUAGUAUACAUAGAUUAAGAAAUCUUUCAACGAAAUUUGGGUCUGAUAAAUUUAGCCUCUGUUCCCCCUUCUUUCUUUCCUUGUCCAUUUUCUUUGUCGCUUUCUAAAGGUUUUCAUGAACCACUCAUGUUUCCAUGAGGUCAAGCAGUACCCAAUUGAAACUCCGAUUACUAGCUCACUUCCGUAUCCCAUUAAUAGAAAUUUCCAAUCAAAUUCACUAGUUGAACCUUGUUUAGAGGAUGAAGAUGUUGGUGGUGAUGCAUCAGAACUUCCACAUGCCCUUGACAAAGGACUUCCACACAAUCCUGGGUUCCCAUCAAAGGAAGCAUUUGGAAAUGUUGUAAAUUGAUUUCCUUGUGGUAUAGGCCCCGUCAGAUGAUUAUGAGACACAUUGAAGAAUGCAAGGAAUGUUAUCCUUGUUAGUUGCAAAGGGAUCUCUCCUGAGAGCUAGUUCGGGGAAAGAUCCAAUGACUCCAGCUGUGGUAGGUUCCCCAAGGAGGAUGGGAUAUGGCCAGUAAGAUUGUUGUCGCCAAGGUUCAGCAAAUGAAGCCCCUUGAGGUUCCCAGUGGAGGUUGGAAUUUGUCCUUUGAAAUUGUUGCCUGAGAAAUCAAUUGCUAUUAAAAUAUCAGGGAUCUUCUCAAAAAACCUCUGCAUACCUCUAUUUAUCAUUGUCAAUGAGUACAAGUAAUGGCCAGUCCAUGUAUACCCUAGGUUUUCAAACUCUGGGUGUGCCUGCAUGUACCUAAGGUCGUUUGCAAUAUCUGUAAGUUUCAUGGCAUCCCAAUUUUGGAAAUACUCUGAUGGUAAAUCACCUAUAAACUUAUUGUCAGAGAGAUCGACGAUGCACAACUUGGGAAACCUGAAAUUCGAGUGCCAGCUCCCUAUUGCACCAUGGAAUCUGUUGGAUCUCAAAAUAAGAACCUGUAGCUGUGGGAGGGCUCCAAGCCAGAAGGGGAAAAUAUCAUCGAUUUGAUUAUUUCCAAGAACAAGGUGCUCGAGCAUCAUGCAAUUGGCAAAUGAUCUUGGUAUUUGGCCUUGGAAUUGAUUUUCACCUAAAUCAACCACCCUCAAAUUGUUUGUCACUGUGCAUGUUUGAGGAAAGGGGCCAUCAAGGCUGUUGCUUCCCAGAUCCAGUACGGACAGAGAUUUACUCAAGUUGUCCAGACAUUGGGGAAUCCUGCCACUCAAAUUGUUACUAGACAAAUCAAGUAACAUGAGAGAACUCACGUUGCAAAUAAGUGGCGAAAUUUCUCCGAUCAGUUUAUUUCUAGAGACUGAAUAAUAUUCAAUGGUUGAUGGUGGUGGAAUUGGAAGUGGUCCUUGCAACAUGUUAGAAUCAAGCAUUAAAAUGCUUAACCUGGACCAUGGAAGCACAACUGGAUGUUGGUCAAAGUCGGUUAAAAGGUUUCCAGAAAGGUCAAGAGUCCCUAGGUUUUCUUGGCUUAUGUUCCAAAUCCACUUUAGAAUUAGACCAUGAAUUUUAUUAUUGGCAAGGGAGAGCACCACCAAUUCAUCUUGGUUCCGCAGGAAAUCAGGAAACUCAGUUAAGUUGCAUGAAUCCAAUCCUAAAAGCUUAAAUUUAGGGAGAGUAACAUUGGUUCUGGUGUAACCGAGCAAUGAUAAACUGUUGCCUGAUAAUUGGAAACUGGUGAGGUUUUUGAGCUUAAGUAACAUGUUAAGUUCCACUGUCCCACUCAAGGAAUUUCCUCCUACAGAAAGAGAUUGAAGAUUUACAAGUUCAAAUAAUGAACUUGGGAUUCCACCUUCUAAAUUGUUUGUCCCAAGUUCUAAUACAGUCAAUUGGGUGAGGUUCAUGAGCCAAGAUGGGAUCUGACCACUCACUUGAUUUUCUGCAAGAGUCAAAGUAGUUAGCUGACUCAUAUUUACAAGAGAGAAUGGGAUUUCUCCAAUUAAAUUUAUUUGGCGGAGAUGCAAAGCAGUGAGUUUUGUUUGCUCACCAAGCCAAGCAAGGGUCCCAACACUGAAAUUAUUAAAAGAAAGGACUAAAAAAGUGAGUUGGGUAAGAUUUGCCAUGGAAGAAGGAAUUUGGCCACUAAAAGAGUUAUUUGAAAGGUCUAAAUAGGAUAACUGGGGAAGGUGACCAAGUGGAGAUGGGACCAACCCAGUGAAAUUGCAUGAGCUGAUGUCCAACUCAGUCAAAGAACCAAGCCUCCCAAUUGAAGUUGGUAACUCACCAGAAAAACUCGUACCAUAAAGAUGCAACUCUUUUAACGGACUGGUUUCCUGAAAUUCAGGCAAAUAACCAAUCAGAUCUGGAUUGUAACUCACACUAAGAAACUUUAGGCUUGGUAGCUGAAAAAUGUUCAUUGGGAAUUCACCAUGCAAUCCACAUUCUCUGAGAAAGAGAGUUGUCAAUGAAGAUAAAUUUGCCAACUCAUGAGGUAUUGUUGAAGAAAUGUUCACCUCGCUUAGAUGAAGUUUCUUUAAGUGGGCAAAGUUCUGAACCAGAUUUCUCAAGCAAGGCUUUUGAAGCUGCAACAUUGGGUUUGCCUAGAGAUCAAGGAAAACCAAGUUGGACAGUGCUAAGAGUUCCGAUGGGAUUUGGGCGGCGAAUGCAGAAUCAGAGAGAUUGAGACUUCUAAGCCUUAAAAGCUGACCAACACUAAAUGGGAUCUCAGAGUAAUUGAAAUCAUUAUCAGAGAG